UACGUAGGGUGCGAGCGUUGUCCGGAAUUAUUGGGCGUAAAGGGCUCGUAGGCGGUUUGUCGCGUCGGGAGUGAAAACCUUGGGCUUAACUCAGGGCUUGCUUUCGAUACGGGCAGACUAGAGGUAUGCAGGGGAGAACGGAAUUCCUGGUGUAGCGGUGAAAUGCGCAGAUAUCGGGAGGAACACCGGUGACGAAGGCGGUUCUCUGGGCCUUACCUGACGCUGAGGAGCGAAAGCGUGGGGAGCGAACAGG
rnacentral:rRNA from 1 species